rnacentral:rRNA from 1 species
GAUGAACGCUAGCUACAGGCUUAACACAUGCAAGUCGAGGGGAAACGGCAUCGAAAGCUUGCUUUUGAUGGGCGUCGACCGGCGCACGGGUGAGUACGCGUAUCCAACCUGCCCAUCACUUGGGAAUAACCUUGCGAAAGUAAGACUAAUGCCCAAUGACAUCCCACGAAGGCAUCCGAAUGGGAUUAAAGAUUUAUCGGUGAUGGAUGGGGAUGCGUCUGAUUAGCUUGUUGGCGGGGUGACGGCCCACCAAGGCAACGAUCAGUAGGGGUUCUGAGAGGAAGGUCCCCCACAUUGGAACUGAGACACGGUCCAAACUCCUACGGGAGGCAGCAGUGAGGAAUAUUGGUCAAUGGGCGAGAGCCUGAACCAGCCAAGUAGCGUGCAGGAUGACGGCCCUAUGGGUUGUAAACUGCUUUUAUAAGGGAAUAAAGUGGGUCACGUGUGACUUUUUGCAUGUACCUUAUGAAUAAGGACCGGCUAAUUCCGUG